rnacentral:lncRNA from 1 species
UUGGCAUCAUCCUCCUCAACUACAAACUCAUCAGCCACAAUCUCAUCAGCUACUUGCUUUUCGACUGCCUUUAUGUCCACAACAUUAAUCUGCUCAUCUUUAACAUGGGGCAUCUCAAGGCAGAAUAGCUCGACAUCUUCAUCUUUAAUGGAAUGAAAAUAACUAGCUCCACUCAGCAAUACAAGUAACCCAACUUGUAUGCAUCAACCACGGCCUCAAACUUGGAUUUUUUAGCAGCUUCAUGAUAAGCGUUGAACUUGGCUAGCAAGUUGUCAUAAAUGCAAGUCAUGUCGAUAUGCUUAUGCUCGAGACUGAAGUAGGCCUCUUUUUGCUCAUGCAGGGUAGUAGCAGAAGAGUUAAGUUCACUAUAUAUUUUUAGCAAGGGAACUCUUCAGCACAUACAUGUCAGGCAUCUUGGUCUCAUGGGGGGCCUGCUUGGUCAAAAGUAUACCGAUCAGAUCAACAUUCUUCUUCUUCUCUAACUCCUUGAGCUGAGAAGAAGAUGAGGCAACAGCAAAUGAGUUUUGGAUGGCAUAAACAACAAAAACUACUCCUUUUUGAAGCACAGCGACAAUCACUUCCUUUUGCUUCUCCAAAGAAGGGCUCGAGAAUGCACCAAGAUCGCUAGCUUAAUGUAUAUGAUCAACCAGCUUGGUGCAAAUAAACUGGCUCAAUAGAAAGCUCGGCAUGAGCAGGUCAGAUACACAUGUAUCCCAUAUAGAGCUAGGCUUAUCAACUUUUGGACCAGUAGUUCGAGCAUCUGAAGGACCCUUCGCCUGAGCAGAUGACUCCCUGACCUUCUUAGCCACAACCAUCCUCUCUUUCAAGAGAGUCAAUGACGUUAAAUUAGCUUCAUGCUUGACUACUUGUGGCUCAGGAAAUGGCGCACGCUUGCUAAGUAGAAGAGUAGCCCUUCUAGUUCUAUCCUCGUCCCUCGACUAAUGUAGACGACUCAAGCUCCUAUGAGGCACGUUAGAAACACUUUACUUCUUACAGACGAACCAGACCUGGGGCAAACAUCCUUGUUGGGCGAAUCACAGGUUGUGGGCUUUUCAGUCGAAGACUUGAGCAGAAUGUGCUGAAUGUUUUGCAUGCUAUUAAUCUUCUAGCUUUCCCUAGACCUUGGCAGACGACGACGGAGCAGCUCUCACUUGAGUCUUCUCAGCAAGCUUGCGGCAUACGAUAAAAAAAAAACAAAGGGAAACAGCCCAUCGGCCCGAGCUUAGCCGCAACACCUCAGCAGGUGACGACAUAGCUCUAGAAAAAAAAUGAGAGAUGCUGCAAUAGCCGGCAACCACCGCGAUAACAACCUCUUUGUAGUCUCGGUGCAACAAGCCCAACUAGUCAGCCUAGCGUGCUAGCCAGCCAGCCAACCUCUGUUCGACAAAAUCAACGAGCUGGCCCGCAUUGAGAAAAUAUCCAGCGAUCGCAGUUGCUACAGCCAACGGCCACAGCCGCUCCUUGCUGUCGUGAGAUCUCGGUGACAACCAACCAGUCAAGCUAGCUGGUCUUUGCCGGGAAGAACAUAAAAGAAUGGAAAAAAAAGCAGCCCCAAUCGCAGCUGCCAACAACUGCAACAGCCACGACUGCUCGACUACAAGUUCGUGGCUGGCCUUGCAGCACAGCCGACCUAUGCGGUCACGAGGCCAAAUAGGCCUCACCCAGCCAAUCGUCAAAGUGAAAAAAAAAAUCAAGAAAAGAAAAAAUAUUUAAAAACCAAGCGUGACCUACGUUUGUGUGCACGACAACUCCUCUCCUAAACAAGACUCCUCCAAGAUCUCUCUCACAAGCUAGAAAUUUGAGGAAGAAAAGUUUGCCAUUUGAAGAAGAGUGAAGGGAAUCCUUGUAUAACGGUUGGGCAUCCUAGGUCAAGAGGGAAACACAAGCCUAUCCCAGUUGGGAGAACAACUCCAAGAAGAAUUCAAAAGCCUACUCCAAUUAGGAGCCCAACUCACAAAGGGAGUUCAACCUACAAAGAAUGCCCAAAAGCAGUUGGAAAGUCCGAUAAGUAUUUCACAUCUCCUUCCUGCCACAUAGUGCCAUGCAGAAGAUAGGGGGCAUUUGUGGAGACAUAUAUUUCGGUAACCAAUAAGAAGAUGACGCAUGAAAAAAUGAAUAUUACUUAGGUUAACUAAUUACUGUAAUUAAAUUUUAUUUAAUUAGGGAAUUAUCUUUGAUUUAAGAUAGGAAUAUCUCUCUAAAUCAAGGAUCUGUUUUCCACCAAAUCCCUUUGAUUAAUUCCUAUCAUCUUUUUUGGGUAUGAAUAAUCCUAAUUAAAUAAGGAUUAUUCUUC